UGGGGAAUCUUGCACAAUGGGGGAAACCCUGAUGCAGCGACGCCGCGUGAGCGAUGAAGCCCUUCGGGGUGUAAAGCUCUUUCGGCAGGGACGAUAAUGACGGUACCUGAAGAAGAAGCUGCGGCUAACUACGUGCCAGCAGCCGCGGUAAUACGUAGGCAGCGAGCGUUGUUCGGAGUUACUGGGCGUAAAGCGUGCGUAGGCGGUGGUCCAAGUCUGGUGUGAAAUCUCCCGGCUCAACUGGGAGGGUGCGCCGGAAACUGGGCUGCUGGAGUGCGGGAGAGGCAAGCGGAAUUCCAGGUGUAGCGGUGAAAUGCGUAGAUAUCUGGAGGAACACCAGUGGUGCAGACGGCUUGCUGGACCGUAACUGACGCUGAGGCACGAAAGCGUGGGUAGCAAACAGG
rnacentral:rRNA from 1 species